UCUGAGUGGAGUUGGGAUGAGAAGCAUCGCU
rnacentral:piRNA from 1 species